rnacentral:rRNA from 1 species
UGACGAGUGGCGGACGGGUGAGUAAUGCUUAGGAAUUUGCCUUUUGGAGGGGGAUAACAGUUGGAAACGACUGCUAAUACCGCAUGAUACCUACGGGUCAAAGGGGGCUUUUAGCUCUCGCCAAGAGAGAAGCCUAAGUGAGAUUAGUUAGUUGGUGGGGUAAUGGCCUACCAAGACGACGAUCUCUAGCUGUUCUGAGAGGAAGAUCAGCCACACUGGGACUGAGACACGGCCCAGACUCCUACGGGAGGCAGCAGUGGGGAAUAUUGCACAAUGGGGGAACCCUGAUGCAGCCAUGCCGCGUGUGUGAAGAAGGCCUUCGGGUUGUAAAGCACUUUCAGGUGUGAGGAAAGUUAAACAGUUAAUACCUGUUUGAUGUGACGUUAACACCAGAAGAAGCACCGGCUAACUCCGUGCCAGCAGCCGCGGUAAUACGGAGGGUGCGAGCGUUAAUCGGAAUUACUGGGCGUAAAGCGCACGCAGGCGGUUGUAUAAGCUAGAUGUGAAAGCCCCGGGCUCAACCUGGGAGGGUCAUUUAGAACUGUACGACUAGAGUUUUGGAGAGGGGAGUGGAAUUCCACGCGUAGCGGUGAAAUGCGUAGAUAUGUGGAGGAACAUCAGUGGCGAAGGCGACUCUCUGGCCAAAGACUGACGCUCAUGUGCGAAAGUGUGGGUAGCGAACAGGAUUAGAUACCCUGGUAGUCCACACUGUAAACGCUGUCUACUAGCUGUGUGUGCAUUUAAUGUGUGCGUAGCGAAGCUAACGCGAUAAGUAGACCGCCUGGGGAGUACGGCCGCAAGGUUAAAACUCAAAUGAAUUGACGGGGGCCCGCACAAGCGGUGGAGCAUGUGGUUUAAUUCGAUGCAACGCGAAGAACCUUACCUACACUUGACAU